UUGCACAUUUCAUUGACUUUCUCUCACUGUAAAGAGCAAAGUUACUUCUAAUGUGCUACAUAAACCGGAGGCUAAUUAGCAGCGUAACAGCUCGUUACCGCUGCCAGUCUCCUCCGUACAUCU